AAAUACCUGCCACAUUUAUAUGUCCACUUCUAUAUGGUACCCUUUACUUGUGCUGUUAUAGCUUAAAAUAGAACUGUUAUACCACUCCUCCGAACAUCUGUAAUGUUAAAGAGUAUACCCAUAUACCUGCCACUUCUAUCUAUCUACUUCUAUAUGGUAGCCUUGGGUUGUGCGGUUACAGCUUAAAAUGGAACAGUUAUACCACACCCCGAAACAUCUGUAGGGCUAAAAAGCACACUCAAAUACCUCCCACAUCUAUAUGUCCACUUCUAUAUGGUACCCUUACUUGUGCUGUUAUAGCUUAAAAUAGAACAGUUAUACCACUCCUCGGAACAUCUGUAGUGUUAAAGAGAACACCCAUAUACCUGCCACUUCUAUCUAUCUACUUCUAUAUGGUAGCCUUAGGUUUUGCGGUUACAGCUUAAAAUGGAACAGUUAUACCACACCCUGAAACAUCUGUAGGGCUAAAGAGCACACUCAAAUACCUCCCACAUCUAUAUGUCCACUUCUAUAUGGUACCCUUUACUUGUGCUGUUAUAGCUUAAAAUAGAACAGUUAUACCACUCCUCGGAACAUCUGUAAGGCUAAAAAGUACACCCAUAUACCUGCCACUUCUAUCUAUCUACUUCUAUAUGGUAGCCUUGGGUUGUGCGGUUAUAACUUAAAAUGGAACAGUUAUACCACACCCCAGAAAAUCGGUAGUGCUAAACCACUCCCCUAUAUGCCAGCUAGAUACAUAUGUCCACUUCUAUAU
rnacentral:lncRNA from 1 species